AAACCAGCACCUCAAGUGGUCAGGAUAAUUAUUGGGCCUAAAGCAUCCGUAGCCUGCUCUGUAAGUUUUCGGUUAAAUCUGUACGCUCAACGUACAGGCUGCCGGGAAUACUGCAGAGCUAGGGAGUGGGAGAGGUAGACGGUACUCGGGAGGAAGUGGUAAAAUCCUUUGAUCUACUGAUGACCACCUGUGGCGAAGGCGGUCUACCAGAACACGUCCGACGGUGAGGGAUGAAAGCUGGGGGAGCAAACCGGAGUAGAAACCCGUGUAGUCC
rnacentral:rRNA from 1 species